rnacentral:rRNA from 1 species
UACGGAGGGUGCAAACGUUGCUCGGAAUUAUUGGGCGGAAAGCGCACGUAGGCGGCUUGGCAAGUCGGAUGUGAAAUCCCUCGGCUCAACCAAGGAAGUGCAUCCGAAACUGCUGAGCUUGAGUACUUAAGAGGAUCGCGGAAUUCCCGGUGUAGAGGUGAAAUUCGUAGAUAUCGGGAGGAACACCAGUGGCGAAGGCGGCGAUCUGGGAAGAUACUGACGCUGAGGUGCGAAAGCGUGGGGAGCAAACAGG